UCUUAAUCGAGGAAAUCCCUUCGGGGACAAGGUGACAGGUGGUGCAUGGUUGUCGUCAGCUCGUGUCGUGAGAUGUUGGGUUAAGUCCCGCAACGAGCGCAACCCUUGUCGUUAGUUACUACCAUUAAGUUGAGGACUCUAGCGAGACUGCCUGGGUUAACCAGGAGGAAGGUGGGGAUGACGUCAAAUCAUCAUGCCCCUUAUGUGUAGGGCUACACACGUGCUACAAUGGCUGGUACAGAGAGAUGCAAUACCGCGAGGUGGAGCCAAACUUAAAAACCAGUCUCAGUUCGGAUUGUAGGCUGAAACUCGCCUACAUGAAGCUGGAGUUACUAGUAAUCGCGAAUCAGAAUGUCGCGGUGAAUACGUUCCCGGGUCUUGUACACACCG
rnacentral:rRNA from 1 species